CAAUUCUCACUGUCGGAGGUUGCCUCUUGGAACACUUUGCUGUCUCUGUGUGAAGGGCAUUUUCCUAAUGUUCUCAACCAUAUCGUUGAUGAAAAAGCCUCUCAUACAGAUGAAAAUGGACAUGUUUGCUGAGAAACUGCUGAAUCAACAUAAAGGUGAUGCUGUUGUGCAACAGUUUGACAACUUUCUCUCUCUGCAUGGCAAAAGUGAUGAGUUCCUCUCUUUCAAACCCACGAAGCAACGACUUGAUGCUUUUCUUCAUGACACUCAACCAGUCUUAUCCUGAGCUCCAGAGUUUCCUUCAAUGCCUCCUGCUCCUAUCUCAUGGGCAAGCUACAGUAGAGAGAGGCUUCUCUGUGAACAGGGAAGUAGAGACUUGCAUCAUAAAAGAAGAAACUGUUGAGGCCCAGAGAUGAGUCUGUGACCAAGUAAGAGCUUUUGGGGGUGUUCUCAAAGUGCCCCUUUCAAAAGAACUACUGACUUCUGUAGCCUCAUCCCAGGACAAGAUACAGGAGCUAUCUUGAAGAAGAGAGACAGUGCCAUGCGUGGAUUUAAGAGAAAAGCUUUGAGAGAUGAGCUGGAAGACCUGAAGAAGAAAAAAGCGGUGCUGACAGCGGUGUGCGUCAGCCUUCAGAAGGACGCUGAGCUGGCUGAAAACAAAUCCAGCACACUCAUGGCUCAAAUGAUCACAAAGUUGAAUACUUAAAGGAAAAGAUACAGGGACAAAUGCAAUGAAUUGAGAAACAUUGAGUCAGAAAUGGAAGCAAAAAUAACCAACUAAUGCACAUGCCUGAAAGGGGAACUAGUGGUCAUCUUUCAGUGUAAUAUAAGUUCUCUCUCAGCUCCAUAAGUUCUGAUAUGUUUAAGAUGAGGUAUUUGUAGUGAAAGUUUUCAUAUAAAA